rnacentral:rRNA from 1 species
UAAGGAAUAUUGGUCAAUGGACGAAAGUCUGAACCAGCCAUGCCGCGUGAAGGAUUAAGGUCCUCUGGAUUGUAAACUUCUUUUAUCUGGGACGAAAAAAGGCGAUUCUUCGUCACUUGACGGUACCAGAUGAAUAAGCACCGGCUAACUCCGUGCCAGCAGCCGCGGUAAUACGGAGGGUGCAAGCGUUGUUCGGAAUUACUGGGCGUAAAGCGUCUGUAGGCGGUUAGAGUAGUCGGGUGUGAAAUCCCCAGGCUUAACCUGGGAAUUGCGCUCGAAACCAUCUAGCUUGAGUGUCAGAGGGGUACAUGGAAUUCCCAGUGUAGCAGUGAAAUGCGUAGAUAUUGGGAGGAACACCGGCGGUGAAGACGAUGUACUGGAUGACAACUGACGCUGAGAGACGAAAGCGUGGGUAGCAAACAGG